CUGAAAAUAGUUUCUAAAAUACAAAGGGAAACAAAAAGAAGCAUAUUAUCUCACCCUUAUUUGCAACCUCUUGGACAGGGAUGCCAGACGAAACCUUGAAGACGGUGGACUAAAGUUUAUAAAGUAUGUUAGUAAAUGUACAAAAAAGUUUUUUUUAAACUAAAAUUAAUAUAUAAUUCAAAAUCUAUAUUAAACUUAAAUCUUAAAAAGAUACUAUGUAGCUAACUCUUGUCCAAUUAACCUUUGACUAUGCGGAUGUUGUUUAUAGUCGUUGCCUUACAGGAGCUCUAGCCCAAUAUAUCCAGAGAAUACAAAAUUGUUGUCUUCGGUUUAUUUAUGAGAUAAGAAGACGUAAACCUGUUAGCCAUAAGCUUAAUAAGGCUAAUUGAAUAUGAAUAAUAGGAAUCGAUUUCAUUGUAAUAACCCGUAUGAUAGAGUUACAGUUAAUAGAAAUUAAAAAAAAAUAAAUAAAAAUCCCGCUUUUAUUAUACAACGGU